GCCCCUGUAGCUCAGUGGAUAGAGCAGUGGCCUCCGGAGCCAUGUGCGGGAGUUCGAGUCUCCCCAGGGGUA
rnacentral:tRNA from 1 species